rnacentral:lncRNA from 1 species
CUUCAUUGUGACUUUAACAAACAUUAUCUUCCCACAUACCAGGAAGUAUUGUAAAUUUAUUUCACAUAGGAAAAAUUAUUUGGAAUAAUAAAGCAGGAACUUUUCCUGAGGUUGCAAUUUAUACUGUAUGGCUUCUUUUUCAUGUUUCGUCUAGGUUUUUAGAAGUGAAGUAUAGUAAAUUUGGUUCGUUAAAUUGUGAAGGCGCUGGAAUUACAUGAACAUACCACCUUAAUAAAGCCCUGCCAUAGGACAGGCUGAGGCUGAGUCUCAGUGUUGCCCUGUUCAGUCUGAGCAGCAGAAUUUCAGCAUUUGCUACUUACUGGUAGAGAAGAAAAAUCCCACAGCCCUGCCAGUACAGGUUAGUUUAAUCUGUAAGUACCUGAUGUUCCUUUUUUUUCAAACAUAUCCAUAUAACCCACACAAAGAAGAAAGCUGUGCAGUUACUUACUGUGAGUAUAACUAAUAAGAGAAUCCAUUGGACACUUUUCACACACUCAAUACUUGGGCCAAAGUAGUUCUAGGUUUGCUAUCUUCAGUUGUAAUAAAGGUUUAGUAAAUUAUGCCUUUAUUAUAUGG